CCUACGGGGUGCAGCAGUGGGGGAUAUUGCACAAUGGGGGAAACCCUGAUGCAGCGACGCCGCGUGGGUGAAGAAGUAUUUCGGUAUGUAAAGCCCUAUCAGCAGGGAAGAAAGAAGACGGUACCUGACUAAGAAGCCCCGGCUAACUACGUGCCAGCAGCCGCGGUAAUACGUAGGGGGCGAGCGUUAUCCGGAUUCACUGGGUGUAAAGGGAGCGUAGACGGCCGUGCAAGCCAGGAGUGAAAGCCCGGGGCCCAACCCCGGGACUGCUCGUGGAACUGUGCGGCUGGAGUGCGGGAGGGGCAGGCGGAAUUCCUGGUGUAGCGGUGAAAUGCGUAGAUAUCAGGAGGAACACCGGCGGCGAAGGCGGCCUGCUGGACCGCGACUGACGUUGAGGCUCGAAAGCGUGGGGAGCGAACAGGAUUAGAUACCCGAGUAGUC
rnacentral:rRNA from 1 species